rnacentral:rRNA from 1 species
CCUACGGGAGGCAGCAGUGGGGAAUAUUGGACAAUGGGCGAAAGCCUGAUCCAGCAAUUCCGCGUGUGUGAAGAAGGCCUUCGGGUUGUAAAGCACUUUAGUGGGGGAAGAAACAGCUUGGCCACACCAAGCCUUGACGGUACCCCAAGAAUAAGCACCGGCUAACUCUGUGCCAGCAGCCGCGGUAAUACAGAGGGUGCAAGCGUUAAUCGGAUUUACUGGGCGUAAAGGGUGCGUAGGUGGCUAUUUAAGUCGGAUGUGAAAGCCCGGGGCUCAACCUCGGAAUUGCAUUCGAUACUGAGUGGCUAGAGUUCGGUAGAGGGCGGCGGAAUUUCCGGUGUAGCGGUGAAAUGCGUAGAUAUCGGAAGGAACAUCAAUGGCGAAGGCAGCCGCCUGGGCCUGGACUGACACUGAGGCACGAAAGCGUGGGUAGCAAACAGGAUUAGAUACCCUGGUAGUCCACGCCGUAAACGAUGAGAACUUGACGUUGGUUCGUUUUACGAAUCGGUGUCGCAGCUAACGCGAUAAGUUCUCCGCCUGGGGAGUACGGCCGCAAGGUUGAAACUCAAAGGAAUUGACGGCUGNGAGNGCGAGCGACGACGAGGGAGAG